UGACCUCAAAUCAGGUAGGAUUACCCGCUGAACUUAAGCAUAUCAAUAAGCGGAGGAAAAGAAACCAACUGGGAUUACCUUAGUAACGGCGAGUGAAGCGGUAAAAGCUCAAAUUUGAAAUCUGGUACUUUCAGUGCCCGAGUUGUAAUUUGUAGAAUUUGUCUUUGAUUAGGUCCUUGUCUAUGUUCCUUGGAACAGGACGUCAUAGAGGGUGAGAAUCCCGUUUGGCGAGGAUACCUUUUCUCUGUAAGACUUUUUCGAAGAGUCGAGUUGUUUGGGAAUGCAGCUCAAAGUGGGUGGUAAAUUCCAUCUAAAGCUAAAUAUUGGCGAGAGACCGAUAGCGAACAAGUACAGUGAUGGAAAGAUGAAAAGACUUUGAAAAGAGAGUGAAAAGGUACGUGAAAUUGUUGAAAGGGAAGGGCAUUUGAUCAGACAUGGUGUUUUUUGCAUGCACUCGCCUCUCGUGGGCUUGGGCCUCUCAAAAAUUUCACUGGGCCAACAUCAAUUCUGGCAGCAGGAUAAAUCAUUAAGAAUGUAGCUACUUCGGUAGUGUUAUAGCUUUUUGGAAUACUGUUAGCCGGGAUUGAGGACUGCGCUUCGGCAAGGAUGUUGGCAUAAUGGUUAAAUGCCGCCCGUCUUGAAACACGGACCAAGGAGUCUAACGUCUAUGCGAGUGUUUGGGUGUAAAACCCGUACGCGUAAUGAAAGUGAACGUAGGUUGGGGCCUUCGGGUGCACAAUCGACCGACCUUGAUGUUUUCGGAUAGGUUUGAGUAAGAGCAUAGCUGUUGGGACCCGAAAGAUGGUGAACUAUGCCUGAAUAGGGUGAAGCCAGAGGAACUCUGGUGGAGGCUCGGUAGCGGUUCUGACGUGCAAAUCGAUCGUCGAGAUUUGGGUAUAGGGGCGAAAGACUAAUCGAACCAUCUAGUAGCUGGUUCCUGCCGAAGUUUCCCUCAGGAUAGCAGAAACUCGUAUCAGUUUUAUGAGGUAAAGCGAAUGAUUAGCGGUACCGGGGAUGAAAUGUCCUUGACCGAUUCUCAAACUUUAAAUAUGUAAGAAGUCCUUGUUGCUUAAUUGAACGUGGACAUAUGAAUGAAGAGUUUCUAGUGGGCCAUUUUUGGUAAGCAGAACUGGCGAUGCGGGAUGAACCGAACGUGGAGUUAAGGUGCCGGAAUGUACGCUCAUCAGACACCACAAAAGGUGUUAGUUCAUCUAGACAGCCGGACGGUGGCCAUGGAAGUCGGAAUCCGCUAAGGAGUGUGUAACAACUCACCGGCCGAAUGAACUAGCCCUGAAAAUGGAUGGCGCUCAAGCGUAUUACCUAUACUCCACCGCCAGGGUUAAUAUGAUGCCCUGGCGAGUAGGCAGGCGUGGAGGUCAGUGACGAAGC
rnacentral:ncRNA from 1 species